rnacentral:rRNA from 1 species
AGGAUGAACGCUGGCGGCGUGCCUAACACAUGCAAGUCGAACGUCCUGUCUCGCAAGAGGCAGGGAGUGGCGGACGGGUGAGUACCACGUGGGUCAUCUACCGUGAGGUGAGGAAUACCGGCGAGAAAUCGCCGACAAGACCGCAUAGCCUCGGUGCAAGUCGAGGAAAGCUCUCUCGAGAGAGGGAGCGCCACACGAGGAGCCUGCGCCCGAUUAGCUAGCUGGUGGAGUAAUGGUUCACCAGGGCGACGAUCGGUAGCUGGUCUGAGAGGACGAUCAGCCACACUGGGAUUGAGAACGGCCCAGACUCCUACGGGGGCAGCAGUGAGGAAUUUCGUCAAUGGGGCGAACCCUGAACGAGCAACGCCGCGUGCAGGAAGAAGGUUUCGGAUCGUAAACUGCUUUUCUCGGGAAGAGAACGGACGGUACCCGAGGAAUCAGCCCGGCUAACUACGUGCCAGCAGCCGCGGU